UUUGUGGUGACCGAGGUUAAGGUGUUAAAUUUUUAAUUUAAAGACGGCAAUUGUGCCCUGCAACU
rnacentral:tRNA from 1 species